UGAGGACAAAAGGGAAGAGAGACGGGGAUUGAAAAUUGAAAUGGGAGAAAUGAGUAGGGUUUUAAUUGAAUUAGGGAUUAAUUAUAAAACUAGGUACUUAAAUUAUCAAAUUCAAAAUUCAAGGAUGAAGUUUACUUAUGCAAAACUCAGGUACUAUAUAUAAUUAAUACCAAAUUCAAUUAAAAACCCUACUCAUUUCUCCCAUUUCAAUUUUCAAUCCCUAUCUCUCUUCCCUUUCUCCUCAUC
rnacentral:miRNA from 1 species